UACGGAGGGUGCGAGCGUUGUCCGGAAUCAUUGGGCGUAAAGGGCGCGUAGGUGGCCCGGUCAGUUCGUGGUGAAAGCGCGGGGCUCAACCCUGCGUCGGCCAUGAAUACUGCCGCGGCUGGAGCACUGUAGAGGCAGGCGGAAUUCCUGGUGUAGCGGUGAAAUGCGCAGAUAUCAGGAAGAACACCCGUGGCGAAAGCGGCUCUCUGGAACGGUACUGACGCUGAGACGCGAAAGUGUGGGGAGCGAACAGG
rnacentral:rRNA from 1 species